GAACGGGUGAGUAAUACAUCGGAACGUGUCCAGUAGCGGGGGAUAACCUGUCGAAAGAUAGGCUAAUACCGCAUACGACCUACGGGUGAAAGCGGGGGACCGCAAGGCCUCGCACUAUUGGAGCGGCCGAUGUCGGAUUAGCUAGUUGGCGGGGUAACGGCCCACCAAGGCGACGAUCCGUAGCUGGUCUGAGAGGACGACCAGCCACACUGGAACUGAGACACGGUCCAGACUCC
rnacentral:rRNA from 1 species